rnacentral:rRNA from 1 species
GAGAAUGUUAUCACGGGAGACACACGGCGGGUGCUAACGUCCGUCGUGAAGAGGGAAACAACCCAGACCGCCAGCUAAGGUCCCAAAGUCAUGGUUAAGUGGGAAACGAUGUGGGAAGGCCCAGACAGCCAGGAUGUUGGCUUAGAAGCAGCCAUCAUUUAAAGAAAGCGUAAUAGCUCACUGGUCGAGUCGGCCUGCGCGGAAGAUGUAACGGGGCUAAACCAUGCACCGAAGCUGCGGCAGCGAUGCUUAUGCGUUGUUGGGUAGGGGAGCGUUCUGUAAGCCUGCGAAGGUGUGCUGUGAGGCAUGCUGGAGGUAUCAGAAGUGCGAAUGCUGACAUAAGUAACGAUAAAGCGGGUGAAAAGCCCGCUCGCCGGAAGACCAAGGGUUCCUGUCCAACGUUAAUCGGGGCAGGGUGAGUCGACCCCUAAGGCGAGGCCGAAAGGCGUAGUCGAUGGGAAACAGGUUAAUAUUCCUGUACUUGGUGUUACUGCGAAGGGGGGACGGAGAAGGCUAUGUUGGCCGGGCGACGGUUGUCCCGGUUUAAGCGUGUAGGCUGGUUUUCCAGGCAAAUCCGGAAAAUCAAGGCUGAGGCGUGAUGACGAGGCACUACGGUGCUGAAGCAACAAAUGCCCUGCUUCCAGGAAAAGCCUCUAAGCAUCAGGUAACAUCAAAUCGUACCCCAAACCGACACAGGUGGUCAGGUAGAGAAUACCAAGGCGCUUGAGAGAACUCGGGUGAAGGAACUAGGCAAAAUGGUGCCGUAACUUCGGGAGAAGGCACGC